rnacentral:tRNA from 1 species
CUUAUUAAUUUUUUAGAAUAUUAAUAUUGUUAAUUAAAGGUUUUUAAGA